rnacentral:rRNA from 1 species
GACGAACGCUGGCGGCGUGCUUAACACAUGCAAGUCGAACGGAAAGGCCCUGCUUUUGUGGGGUACUCGAGUGGCGAACGGGUGAGUAACACGUGAGUAACCUGCCCUUGACUUUGGGAUAACUUCGGGAAACUGGGGCUAAUACCGGAUAGGAGCUCCUGCUGCAUGGUGGGGGUUGGAAAGUUUCGGCGGUUGGGGAUGGACUCGCGGCUUAUCAGCUUGUUGGUGGGGUAGUGGCUUACCAAGGCUUUGACGGGUAGCCGGCCUGAGAGGGUGACCGGCCACAUUGGGACUGAGAUACGGCCCAGACUCCUACGGGAGGCAGCAGUGGGGAAUAUUGCACAAUGGGCGGAAUCCUGAUGCAGCAACGCCGCGUGCGGGAUGACGGCCUUCGGGUUGUAAACCGCUUUCGCCUGUGACGAAGCGUGAGUGACGGUAAUGGGUAAAGAAGCACCGGCUAACUACGUG